rnacentral:rRNA from 1 species
UGGGGAAUAUUGCACAAUGGGCGCAAGCCUGAUGCAGCCAUGCCGCGUGUAUGAAGAAGGCCUUCGGGUUGUAAAGUACUUUCAGUCGGGAGGAAGGUGUCAAGGUUAAUAACCUUGGCAAUUCACGUUACCGACAGAAGAAGCACCGGCUAACUCCGUGCCAGCAGCCGCGGUAAUACGGAGGGUGCAAGCGUUAAUCGGAAUUACUGGGCGUAAAGCGCACGCAGGCGGUUGAUUGAGUCAGCUGUGAAAUCCCCGGGCUUAACCCGGGAAUUGCAUCUGAUACUGGUCAGCUAGAGUCUUGUAGAGGGGGGUAGAAUUCCAUGUGUAGCGGUGAAAUGCGUAGAGAUGGGGAGGAAUACCGGUGGCGAAGGCGGCCCCCUGGACAAAGACUGACGCUCAGGUGCGAAAGAGUGGGGAGCAAACAGG